rnacentral:misc_RNA from 1 species
UUUCCGUAGGUGAACCUGCGGAGGGAUCAUUACUGAGUGAGGGUCUCCGGGCCCGACCUUCAACCCUUUUGUGAACCACCCCGUUGCUUCGGGGGCGACCCUGCCGUUCGCGGCGUGGGCCCCCCGGAGCCCAUCAAACCCUGCUUAACUGAGUCGUCGGAGUAUAAACAAAUUAAACAAAACUUUCAACAACGGAUCUCUUGGUUCGGGCAUCGAUGAAGAACGCAGC